AAAUUGAAGAGUUUGAUCAUGGCUCAGAUUGAACGCUGGCGGCAGGCCUAACACAUGCAAGUCGAACGGUAACAGGAAGCAGCUUGCUGCUUUGCUGACGAGUGGCGGACGGGUGAGUAAUGUCUGGGAAACUGCCUGAUGGAGGGGGAUAACUACUGGAAACGGUGGCUAAUACCGCAUAACGUCGCAAGACCAAAGAGGGGGACCUUCGGGCCUCUUGCCAUCAGAUGUGCCCAGAUGGGAUUAGCUUGUUGGUGAGGUAACGGCUCACCAAGGCGACGAUCCCUAGCUGGUCUGAGAGGAUGACCAGCCACACUGGAACUGAGACACGGUCCAGACUCCUACGGGAGGCAGCAGUGGGGAAUAUUGCACAAUGGGCGCAAGCCUGAUGCAGCCAUGCCGCGUGUAUGAAGAAGGCCUUCGGGUUGUAAAGUACUUUCAGCGGGGAGGAAGGUGUUAUGGUUAAUAACC
rnacentral:rRNA from 1 species